UGACUGGGGGCGACACUCACCUAUGGGCACGAUGAUCCCGAUAACAGCGGCAGUGACUGUUGAGCCCAUCUUACUGUCUUCAUUCCCAGCUGCAAAACACAAACAUUUGCAGAAUGAUGCUCUGUCACUGUGUAUCCAAGCCUCUACUGGCCUCAAGUGAUCCUCCUGACAGCUCCCUGUGGUGUGAAAAGGAGCUAUCAUCUACACUUGCUGCAGGUGAGAUGACUGCCCCAGCAAUGGCCCAAGGCCCAUCCUCUCUCAAUGUGACUGUUUAUCCUUGUUACUCCAAGAGAAUCUAACAGUUAAGGGGAGAAAAAGCUGUGCUGCUUGCUUCCAGAGCUAACUGUGGAAAUGCUGCUGUCCUCCCCGCUCUGGGCCACAGCGAACACUGGACAGUGAUAGUAAAACCUAGAGCAUGAGGAAGCCAGUGAGGAGAAGCUGGUGAGAGGCUCUGCCCUCAGACGAGAGGAACUGGAAUUCACACAUGCUCCGUCUGCCUCUGCAAACUUCGGAGUAAGUGCUCCACUCCAAAAAGCCAGCUUCUGCUGGCAAAUAGGACCAAUUAGGAAGAUGCUGCCAAGCAGCUUGGUUUCUGGGCUGUCCAUGUAGGGGAAAAAAUUAAAAAGAUAGUUUAUCCUUUUAAAUGAACUCCCUCUGGCAGGUAACUCAAUUAAAAAGGUAUUUGCUGAUUAA